AUACUUACCUGGCAGGGGAGAUAUCAUGAUCACGAAGGUGGUUUUCCCAGGGCGAGGCUUAUCCAUUGCACUCCGGAUGUGCUGACCCCUGCGAUUUCCCCAAAUGUGGGAAACUCGACUGCAUAAUUUGUGGUAGUGGGGGACUGCGUUCGCGCUCUCCCCUG
rnacentral:snRNA from 1 species